CGAAAAUUUUUUGACACAGAUUUUGACGCCCGAAAGUGGAUUUAGACUCUUAACCCAAGAGCUCAGGUCACUGUUCAUCUUAAAUAUUCAUGCGCUUGGAAUCCGUUGUGGGCGCUCGGAACUGUAUGAAUAAGCAUACAUGCAUCUGAAAGUGGUGAGCAACUAAGCCGAUUAUGAGGUUUUGGACACUUGAAAUAUAUUUCGAGCACCCAAAACCUACUGUGAGCUGAGGGAUGUUAUAUUGCUAUUUCUUCAGGUUUGAGGAGUUAAAUGCAAUUAUUUUAACUCUAUAGGAUAACUCUCACCUUCGACUACCUCUUCUACCUAUUUCCAGCUGAGAACUCUAGGUUUCUCUUUUCUUUCUCCUUCUCCUUCAUCUCUCUCACCGGGUCACUCUAUAUUAUCUUUACUCUAUUUUGGGUUCUACUUCAUUCUAAUAGCUUUUAAAUCUCUCUAAGGUUGGGGUUUGAGUUGUGGAAUAAGGAGAGCUUUUGGAGGAAUCCCUCGUGUGCUCUAUCCAUCUAGAGCAUAGUAAAUGUGAGAUUUGAUGUUCUUGGAAUAUUUAUUAAGGAUGGUUUUUUUAGUAUUGAUAGUGUUGGAGUAGGUUUUCUUAAUGUGGUUAUGUAGAGGCGGUUCUUGGCUGAGAUUUGAUGUAGUGUAUUGGACCUUGGUAAAUAGACAAGGUUGUAAUGUGAGUUGUUGGUCAGCACGUCCGCAAAGGGCUGGACUGAAUUGGAACCUUUUUAGAGUAAAAUGAACG
rnacentral:lncRNA from 1 species